GCCGGGUCUGCGCUCUGGGACGCCAUGAGGGAAUAGUCCCUCUGUCCCCACGCCACGAGGGGAUCGUCUCGUCAUCCCCACGCCAUGAAGUGAUCAUUCCUCCAUCCUCAAGCCAUGAGAGAAUCAUCUCGUCAGCCCCGGGCCAUGAGAGGAUCGUCCCUCUAUCCCCUUGCUAUAAGGGAAUUAUCCCCAUGCCACGAGGGGAUAUCAUCCAUGAGGGCCUUGUCCCGACAUACCCACAGCCUGGUCCUCCUGCCCUCUGUGUCCCUGGCACCCUCAGACCCUUCAUUAUGACCAGAGCCAUCAAAAGAAUGGGGUAAAUCCCUUAAAAGUCCUCUCAACACUCUACACAGAAAAAAUAUGGGACUCUGAGGGCAAGUCAGAAUGCCCACCUCAGGUGGCGCUUGCCCAUGCCAGCCAUUCCCUCACCAUUCCUCAAACCAGGCCUGUGGGACAGAGCUGCAACUGACAAAGGACUCAGAAUCAGCUCUUGGCACGAAGCAAAGCACAAAUCUGAACUUAGAUGUGUCUGGGACAGAACAACACUUUUCUUUGUUUCGUAAAGCCAGAAUUACAAGCCUGGAAAAUGAAGAUCACUGGUGCAUGAUGCUUCACUUGGUCUUAGGCUGUUAGACUGCACAAAAUGCCUCCCAGGUUAAGGAAUUCAGAUCUGGAUUGCUGGGCAGCCCGACUGCUUUCAUGACCAAGAAAAAGAAAGAGAGAUGUAAAAAGCCAUCCAUAAAAAGCCAGCCAUGAAAACCCAAACGUAAGCAUGGUUUCCUUUUAUUUUCCUGA
rnacentral:lncRNA from 1 species